rnacentral:rRNA from 1 species
UACAGAGGGUGCGAGCGUUAAUCGGAAUUACUGGGCGUAAAGCGUGCGUAGACGGUUAUUUAAGUCGGGUGUGAAAGCCCCGGGCUCAACCUGGGAAUUGCAUUCGAGACUGAAUAGCUAGGGUACGGUAGAGGGAAGUGGAAUUUCCGGUGUAGCGGUGAAAUGCGUAGAUAUCGGAAGGAACAUCAGUGGCGAAAGCGACUUCCUGGACCAAUACUGACGCUCAGGUGCGAAAGCGUGGGGAGCAAACAGGGAUUAAGAAACCCUU